UCGCGCGCUGCGGUAACGCUCCGCCGUGGGAGCCGGCGGAGAAGCAGGGGCAGGCGGCGCUUGGGCAGGAGGCCGGUUUAUUGAAACCUUGUGAUAGCCAUUUCUGGAGAAUUUUGUGGAAGACCUGUGUUUCUCUGACGUGAAGUGCUGCAGCAUUUCCCAGGCCUGGGCCUUGUGAGUCCAUGCCCACAGAGGUGAGAUCGGUCUUGUCCCAGCGCCCCCCUGAGAGGACGAACCGCUUCUGCCGGUUCCGCCCGCUCUGGCCAUCCAGCAGCGUGGGGAGAUCCGGCACGCCGCACCGGGGCGGGUUCCAGCCUGUCACCUGCUCCUCUGCACCCACGGGGAAGCCCUUGGGCACACCAGUCCCCACAGCGUUCACCAAGGAAGAAAGCCAGGGACUCUGCUCCUUCCAGGUGUGGUGUUUUCGAGACACAUCCUGAAAGAGAAAAGAAAAGGCGUUACUUCAGUGUCUGGGAUGAGAACUCCUGAUGCAGAGUGGCAGAUGUUUCUCCACAGCAGUCCUGCAGUGGAGCAGGAGAUGCUGGCCAGCCACACCAAGGCACAUGAGGAGCAGGAGUGGAGGUGGAUCCUGGGGAGAGCCCUGGCUGUGGAGCUCGAGGCAUUGUGAAGCCCUCAAGGAACUGCUCAGGUGACAGCCUCAUGAACUGAUCUCUCCAGCAUCACCACUCAAUGGAUGACAAAUGGGAAUGCAUCCUCACCAGCAGUUGCUGAACUCUGGGACUGCACUAUCACAAACUCUUCACAUAAAAGCCUCAGCUCCAGGGAAGCACCCAGAGACAAAACUGAAGACUCCAAAGAACAGUCUACGAGAAACACCGCAAGAGCUUGCACAAGGUUGGGAAUGAAUCCAGCACUACGUACACAGUGUCCGGCCUUUACAGAGAGCUGCGGUGUUCACUCAGCACCAAUUUUGCAAAGCCCAGACAAGUGUACAGUGUUCCUGUGGAGGAGCGCAUGGAUGGCCUGUGCAUGGAGUUCAGCACUCUCUGUGGUGGAGGUGGCAACUGAAAGAAGAGCGUUUCAGCAGAAGUCAUGACAAGCCAGGGUGCUCUCAGCAGGACUUUCCUGUGCUUCUGUAAGGGUUAUUAACCCUCCAUGGGAAAAGGAGACACCAGUAGCUUCGUCUACAGAAGAAGGAAAAGAUGGACUCGGGUAUUUAAUUACCAACUGAGAACUGGCUGUUGGAAGCUGAUGGGUUGGACAGUGUCAGUAGGGCAGAAGAGAGCAACGUAGUCAUUGAAACUCAUGAGACAUUCUGGAGAGCUAUGAGACAAAAGACCUGAAUCACAGGUGGUUGUGAACUGUUUGCGUAGAGGCUGGACUAUCUCACAGCAUCUUUCAGCCUGCCAUGCAGGCUAUAUCUUGCUUGGGAGGGGAGGUUGCGGGGAGGUAGUCUGUUACAGGCUGUAAUAUUGUAGUUCAAAGCAGUAGCUGUUCAUGCGAGUUGGUGCUAACAGCCUCAUGAAAGGUCACAGAUGCCUCUGCCAUACACAAAACUGUCCUCACUUCCUUAUUUGCUCAUGUGCAUUUUACUACAGACUCCUCUGAGCUGUAAGGCCCUACACAGAGCUCUGCUCGGGAAAACCGCUGAGAGCAGCUCUCUGGAGAUGUUUGCUGUGUGUCUGCAACAGAGAGAAGAGAAAUGAGACCAGCCGGGGAGCAGCUGCGGAAGAAUGGAGGGAAAUGGCCUCUGGGAAGACAUUUGGAUGAGAAGGAAAUGCCAAGCCCCAAGCCCAUCAACCGGGACAGCGCAGGUAAAACAGGGAGCGCUCUCAAGGUGCGAGAGCCCUCUGGGGCCUGCUCAGCACUGUACUCUCCUGCAAGGCGGGGGAAGCUCACUGCUUUAGACUCCAUGGAACAGCCCAGCAGAUCCCAUCCGGGGGAGGAGAGGCAGCGAGCUGCAGCACCUUGUUGCUCAGAUCACUCAGGUACACACCAGGCAAACCUGCACUGGCUUUUUAAUCAUCACUACUUACAGGAGGAAUCUGCAGCCAUGAAGGAAACAAAACAAAAACUCUGUGCUCUGUUUUGCUGUCUUGUAUUUAGUAGGUGAAUUCACAGAGCUCACAGUAUUUGCACUGUAGUUCUCAUGAGUUUAUAAUGGAGAUGUUUUUGAAGAAAUAAUUGCUUGAAUAGGACUAUGUGAGGAACUUCAGGACAUGCAAGCCCUUCUUUAAGUCACAGCUAAUGACAGUAGCUCUCAGCUGUCAUCAGAACAUGCCACCAAGCAUGCAAGCUCCACGGCUGGAUGUGUGAAUAAAAAGAGCGGUUGCUCUUCUGAGAUGCAGCUGUCACUAGGGAAGAAGAGAUUUGGGGAACUGCUCACCCUACUGCCCCCUCUUUCCCCACCAGAUGAUGAGGGCAAAUCCCUCCUCCAAGGUUUGGUGCUCAUGAAUAAACAGUUAAUCAUUAAGAAGCUCCUCCUUUUCUCGACUCAAGAGCUAUCCAGACAGCCUGGGCUAGCAGGUGACUGUACAGCAGCUGGGAGGCAAAAGGCCAAACCAGGUUCCAGGAGAAAUGAAUCUAGCUCCCACAUCUGGUACCCUCCUCCAGAAGCUAGCUACCAGUGCAGGCUUAGGUGGAACAGGAAUGCAGCCAGGUGUACUUACACCUCUCCGGAUCCCUGAGCAUGGCUGACAGAACCCUCCUCUGAUGGGGAAGGACUCUCCAAAAAACCAGAGCAGAGCUAGCUGAUAGCUCAGAUGUGCUCCAAAAAUCAGGCCCUGCGGUUCAAAUGGAAAACACUCAUGACAUGGAUGGAUUCAAGUCAGGAAGAGCCUUCAGACCAAAAGCGGGCUAUCAUGAAUGAGUUAAAAUCCUUUCAUUUACUUCAUGAAAUUUAUUGAAAACUACAUUGUUCAUCUGCUGAAACUUCACAGCUGUUAAGAUUGCCCUCAGGGCAAACCACAUCCAAGAAAUGGCAUGUACGUCUUGGGAGCACAAGACUUGAAAGCUGAAACUGCGCUCUGCAGUGCUGCCUUCAGUUCCCUUGCAGUCACGUCUAACCAUCUGCAGCUCUUCCAGUUAGACGAUGCUUUUUUUUCUUUCUCCUUUUUCUCAUCUCUGACUCUUGCAGUACAAUCAACCUUGCAAUACAAUUAUUUCAUUUUGCAACAUUGUAUUUUGGCUAAAAAGGAUAGCAAAAAGUCUGUGUGGGGAGAGUGCUCACAGCACAUAGCAUUUAAUGUGGGAUACAGCUAUGUGUCAUGCAGCAAUGGCUAUGCCAUCUAAUUGCAUCUGUCUCUGAUAUUACCACUUUGUUAUGCCUUGGAGAAACUGGGACUGAGGGAUUACUGCAGAAAAUGUGCCCAUUUGUUCAUCAGAAAUUUGUGAAUUCCUUUCAGUGGCAGCAGCUUUCCUGAUUUUUUUUUCUGUGUCAAUUUGCAAACUUUUGCUUGCAAAAACCUUUAAAGGAUAAAAAAGUACUGCUUGCAUAUUUACAUCAAACUUGAAAGCUCCAUGUGGACCUGGGAGACUGAAAUCAACCCCCCAGCACAAACAAAAUUAGGAUUAGCCCGAGCUCAAAAAUUAAAAUAAAAGCAGGACACGAGAAACCCACUGGCUGCAAUAUAUUCAGUCAUAAAUGAUUCAUGGAGUAAUUCUGAGUAACAAACACACUGGGCAGAAGGAGUCUCCAAAGAUGGAGUGAGCAACCAGGCCUGUCCCUGGGAGACACCGAGCAGGCACAUGGGCCUGCAAAGGCCCGGGAGUCCAGCUGGGAUGCCAGAGGAGAGAUGAUUUUCAGGAUAUUGGUUUGAAGAAAAUACUGAGAGUGGAAAAACAGAUGCUGAAGAUGUGGCUGUGUUUGCUGGGCAGGCAUGGAAAGCCAGGCUGCGUCUUGAUCACACCCCACUGGGAUGUUGUUCCAGACAAACGAGGAGUUUCCAGACUGAUAAAGGACCACAGAAAACUCCCACAGAUUUUGCCAGUCACCGUGCCUCGUCUUGAAAUCACGGCUCUGAACACAAGAGUCCAGUGAAUUACCUGAAGCUAACGUGGGGCUUUCCUGAAAAAUCCCUCAGUAUUACCCCAGCCUGCCUAAUCCUCUGGGUGUUUGUUGUUCCCACUGGCCGCCUGCUCCUUCAGCCGCCCCUCUCCAGACGGUGACAGCUUGCGGGCAAGAAACAACAAAGGCCCCGUGCAAGAUUCUCUGGUGAUAAUACGUGUGCUGAUGGAAAGCGGUGGUGAUUUCCAGACAAUAACAGGGAGAAGGGGUAGGAAACCAGCCGCCGGCGGAUGUGGUAUCUCUCACCUCUCUGUUAUGGGUUGAAGCUCUUAUUUCUGAGCACAGUCAGACUGUCUGCACUGGGUCUGUUUGCACAUGCUGCCGUGAACCUGCAGCUGCGCUCACAGCAUCGCCAUCGCUGUGCCUUGGUGAACAAGCUGUCUGGAACUGCGUGGUAAAGGUGGAGAGGUUUCCCACAGGUUCCCCUUGGAUUCGAACACCUCUUCUCCAUGCCCUCCCACCAGGAAAAGGAAUCCGCUUCCACAGGAAACUUCUCCUUUCCGGGACAAGCGUUUUCCCAUUCCAGAGAGGUGAGAAUGGCUUGCAGUUGAAAUGAAACAGCAGGUCAGCAACAUAUUUCACUUGUUAAUGACCUUCGGAAACAUUCAGGAUCUCUGCCUGGGGGCAGGUUCUGUAGCAGAGGUGAAGUAGGUGUGUUAUAAGGUCACAGCAGGAAAACUACCUUUUCCUUCCAGAACAGAAUGGGAGAAACACUCACAUUUUUGGAUAUCAUUUAUAACAGAAAAGAAUAGGAUGAAACUGCAGGCAAGAAGGCCAAAAUAUAGUAAAAAGGGAGUAAGAA